ACCACCGCAACGCAGCACUGGCGCCUCCCAGACGGAGUUUAUAUCCAUAGGCAAAUGAUACAACAUAUACCAUUAUAUCUCAGUCAUGGUAGUACAUCAGGGCAGCAACAAUGCAACAUGGCAUCCAACAUGAUGACUUUUAUUCGAACAAGGAAUGGAAAUACACACACAUAACACAGGGUGACACACUGGUUUGGAUACUCUCGAUGGGAUCCAAUUUUAUUGAACGCAAAGGUGAGACACGACCUUGCCCUGUGAAAUCUCAGACCAUGGAUACGCAUCAUUACGCAUCAAGGGAUGUGAGGCCAGCAUCAGCGUUACAGAAAUUGACACAAGCAUCACCACACUGUUCCACAUAGAGUUUCAUCUCUUCAUCGUCAGCAGCUGGUGCCCAAAUAGCAUGUUAUGUGUCAGGAACUCGCCUUUUCAAUUAGUUUACAGGAAUGCAAAUACAAGAUGAAUUUUAUUUACCUGCGUUGACCAUGUAGUCACAUAGGGAAGACCUACAUCCCAAGUUGCAGUACUCCAUGGUGUCUGGUUCAUCUGUCAAAUUAAAAUAUCUAGCGUGUAAAUAAAAUCCUGUUCGAAACAAAUAAUUCCCCGGUUACAAUAUGCUUGAUGUUUUGGAUAUUCACAUGGUCUCUAUCAUUCGUUCCUUGUUAGUUAUUUUUCCAAUUACUUGUUGGUAGAAAAUUAUGAAAAAAAAACUCGUGGAAAAUUAUUCAUGACAAAUCUGAUCAUCUAACGCCAUCUAACAUAUUCAAAAUACUUCAUCAUAUUAGUAAGAAAACCAGGAUAAUUUUAACUUGACUAUAUGCUUAUCAGAAUGACAUCUGUUCUAUUUUUAAAAAAGAGGUAGUAUAUAAAAUAGAAGGAGUUCAUUCUCUUUACCUGAGUUGGACUCAAGGACCAAUUUAGGGAAGUCCUUAGGGCAGCUUAGGCCACUUGUGAGUUUACACCUGCAAACGUUUGCGCAUAACUUCUGAGCACCACGGGCGCGGCAAAGGUUGUAGCAGUUUCUUCCUAGGGUGCUCUUGCAGCAACUCUUGCCUUCUACUUGCACCUGUUCCAGAACCAACCCCAGUAUGAGUAAACACACCAUCACACCCUUGAGGCCCUUGCUUCCCAUGGCUGGCAGGCUAUCUUGCAGAACACAGGCUUUGGUUGAUGGAUUGCUGAGACUAGGCUUGGAUGGCUCCUACUUAUAGGAGAUGGUGGUUGUGGCAUGUGGGAUGUUCACGUGAUGGUUGUGGUAUGUAAAUGUUGCGUGUUCAUGUCAGCCAUGUAUUUUUUUUUGUGAUAUCAUGCCAGCCAUGUAAACCGGAUGAAAACAAAAGCUCCUAACUGUGAGUGUGUUUGGAGGGCUACUAUUCUUCCAAAUUCCACUGGCAAUCUUUAACCACACGCAACAGCAACAAAUCCAUUGCUAGUUGCAUAUCACUCCUUAAACAUGAAUUUUUUUAAAGAGCUUAGGGACAAAUAUUGGACCUUGUCCUUCUUGCCUUGCUAAGGUGCCCACUCCGGCAAUGACAACAAAAGUGUCUUUAAUCACGCGCGGCAACGGCAAAAAAGGCAACCUUUAUGGUUGUCAUCCAUCCCAAGAGAAACUUGGUUGAAAUCGCGUGUAGAUGAUAAAGAUGAUGGUUGUGGAAUACGUGCAAGCGAACAUGUUCGUACCAAUCUAUUCGCGACCACAGUUCACAUGGUAUGUCACUUAGGGGUUGGUAAUGCAAGCGCAUCCCUCAAAACAAAAACUUUUGGCAGUUAGCUAGUUCUUUUCCGCAUGUGCUUUAGGCUUUUCUCAGCGCUUCAUAGUGCUAAGAAUGUCACAUAGGCAACAAGUUGAAGUAACAAAGAAAAUAAGAAAAAGAGAGAGCAUCCAGACCCAAGGAAGCAACGAUGUCAAGCGAGCAAAUCUAUGCGGAACACAUAUGCAUGAGGAAUUUUUGUUGCUAAACGAUUAAAUGAAGGAAACUUAGCUACAAAAAGCUAAGCACCUAUGCAUGCAUUAGGAAGUUUAGUUUAUAAGUUCUUUGAUGCACUUAGCACCUUAUCUAAGCACCUGUGGUGGAUCCAGAAACCUCUUGAAGGCCGAGCAAAGCACAAACUAAGGUAUCUAAGAUGCCAUUUUAAUUUUUUUUUUAAAUCAUCAUAUAAAAAAAUGUCUAACAUAAGGCGUCGCAUCAAUGGUAGAUUCACUCAUGAGUGAGCAUCAUUACUUUGUUCUAGAACCCAACUAAUCUCUACCUGGGAUCGGGAAAGUUUGUCUGAUGAGAUAAUAAAAUUCUGUUGAAAAAAAUUAAUGAUGAAUCUUUCACAAAACUGAUGACGUGCGUGCUUGGGAAGAGAUGGGAGUGACAUGUGUCCGAGCAGAAAAACAAAUAAGAGAUCGAUUCAAGGGAUAGACCUAGGGAUUGAUGGGUGGGCCACAGUCCACCAUAAGAUUUCCUAAUAAUUUAUAUAUCAUAGCGAGCAAAUGUUGAAUCUUGCUUACUGCGAGACGAAAUGAGCGGUCGCCUACGUAGCUCAUUCAAGUGGGCCAACCCAACAGCGGUUUUGAGAAGCUUCCAUGUGCCAUUUUGAGAAGCUUCUAUGUACAGUAGGGACUGGUUUUGGGGAACCUUCCGUGCGGUUUUCGGAAGCUUGCAUCCUUUUUUUUUCUUUCCAAUUUUUUUCUCUACAUAUUUUUAUACUUUUUUAUCUUUCUUCGUUCCUGCUAUUUUUUAUCUUUUCAUGUUCUUUGUAAAUAAAAGAGUGAACAUUUUUGUAUGGCAUGAACUUCUUGCAAAAAUAAAUGUGUAGACAAUUUUUCACAUUUUCAUGAAAUUUUUUGUAUAUGUUGCGAACAUGUUGUCAUAUGCCGUGAAAAUUCUCCAAAAUUUACACUAACUAUUUUUUACAUUUUCAUGAACAUGUUUACAAAUGCUGAAAUCAUUUUUCAAUGGUAACAAACACUUUUUAUAAGUCACGAACAUGUUUUAAAAAUUGAGCGAGCACAUUUUUAUAUUUCAUGAACAAAUUUUGAACGAGUUUUUGUUGGAUGGUACACCAUUUUUUAAAUGUCACGAAUAUUUUUUAUAAAUUAGUGAAAUUGUUGGUAAGUGUCAUGAAAUUUUUCAUUACAAAUGUGUGGACAUUUUUUUGAGCUGCUUGAAUGGUUUUCCGUUUUUUUAGCACAAUCCACUAGCUAAAUUCAUUAAUAAUCAUCGGAAUACAAUGAGUGUUAUGGGGUAGACCAAGCCAUGUGUGUCUCCCCUGAUCUAAACUGGAUGCAAACCUAGCUAAAUUAUGGGCUUCGUAAUUUGAGCCUCUUUUUUCAUGAACGAAAUUACAUAAGGUGAAAGAAGAUCUAGAAACACACAUUUUUCGUUUCCGAGAGGCGUGCCUCUCGCGAAAGCACAAUCAUACCUCUCAUGGAAGCAAAACCGUGCUUCUCGCGAAAGAAAAAAAAUAAAAAAACAUGUUUUUUUUUGUUUUCGAGAGGCAUGGUGAUGCCUCUCGCGAAAGUGAAACCGUGCCUCUCACAGAAGCAAAACAGUGCCUCUCCUGGAAAAAAACAUGUUUUUUCGUGUCAUUUAAAAAAAACUAAGACCGGUGAAAAUCCAAAAGGUCACAAAACCAUUAAAAGGAACCAAAAAUGUAUGCGGAAAAAUGAAAAAAGCAAAAUCUGAAUGAAGCGCAACACGUGACAGCAGGUGCGCUCUCUUCCCACCCCUAAGUGAUCGUUGGGAGGCUUCCGAAGGAGCGCUCCCCAACAGUUGCUCCCAACUCUCUCGAAAAACGAAUUUGUGUGGAAGCCCAAGUGAUGUGCGAACAACGGUAUGUGUAUGUAUCGCCCCUACAGAUAUAUAAUAGGCCUCGCCUACAGGGUGAUACAAUACUUGGCCAGCCCAUUUUCACGCGUUUGUGGGUUUGCUCGCUCGCUUUCGCUGUCCACAUUCUUGCAUUCUUUGGUUUUUCUUUUGUGUAUUUAUUUUUGUUUUUCUUUGGUUUUAUAUGUUUUCCGAUCNNNNNNNNNNNNNNNNNNNNNNNNNNNNNNNNNNNNNNNNNNNNNNNNNNNNNNNNNNNNNNNNNNNNNNNNNNNNNNNNNNNNNNNNNNNNNNNNNNNNNNNNNNNNNNNNNNNNNNNNNNNNNNNNNNNNNNNNNNNNNNNNNNNNNNNNNNNNNNNNNNNNNNNNNNNNNNNNNNNNNNNNNNNNNNNNNNNNNNNNNNNNNNNNNNNNNNNNNNNNNNNNNNNNNNNNNNNNNNNNNNNNNNNNNNNNNNNNNNNNNNNNNNNNNNNNNNNNNNNNNNNNNNNNNNNNNNNNNNNNNNNNNNNNNNNNNNNNNNNNNNNNNNNNNNNNNNNNNACGUUUACCAUUUUUGAAACACAUGAUUGAUAUUUUUGAAAUGAUGAUCAGAAAUAUAUAUUUUGAUGGCUACUCUUUUUCACACACGGUGUACAUUUUUUGUAUAUAUUUAAAAUAUUUUGAAAAUUUUCAUAUUUUUCAAAUACAUGUUUAACAUUUUUAAAAACACGUGAGAACAAUUUUUCAAUGAUAAAAUCAUUUUUUAUAAAUGAUGGGAUCUAUUUUUUACAUUGUACAAACAUUAUUUGGGAAAAUGUCCCGGCAUAAUUUUAAAAUUUGUGGUCAUUAGUUUCGAUGUAUCAUGCCUUUUAUUGAGGUCCGGAUCAUUUUUUUAAUUACAAGAGCAUUGCUUUAUUAACAUUUGUUAUAUACAUUGUCAAAAGCUCAUUUAUUUUUUAAUACAUUUUCAAUAUUUUUUAUACACAUUUAAUAUUUGUCAAAUGCUUGAUCAACAUUUGUACAAAUACGUUCAACAUUUUUUGAAAAAGCUUGAUUAACAUUUUUAUAUACAUGAUCCAAAAUUUUCAUAAUUUCCUAAGUAUGGUCAACAUUUUUUAUAUACACACUUAAAUUUUUUAAAUGCUUGAUCAACAACGUUCAAAUAAUUUUUCAACAUUAAAAUAUAUUUAGAAUAUUUUAAUAUUUAAAGAAAAAUUGAAAAUAAAACAAGAAACAGAAAAAGAUCAGGUUAUGGCCCCCCGCGCUCCUGGGCUGCCCAUCUCGGUCUCCCCUUUAGUGUGGGUACCUACACUCUCGCUGAAGGCGGGAUAUAGGGGUGCCCCUGAUUAGGAGGUCUGCUUGUUGCCCUAAAAAAAGGAGGUCUCCUUGCUUAGCACAUGGCCUGACGCGAGUCCGAGAACAGCUGACUAGUGUUAUUUCUUGUGUGCGACCUUCAAGAGCAUAUUUUUUCUGCCAUGCGAGCACGCCAAGGUGCGUUCAGCCGUCGCCACAUGUCAUGUGUUGGGCGCUCUCUCUAGAUUUUAUUUUUAAUUUUUUAUGUGUUUUUUGGGUUUUAGAUGAGGUUUUUCGGGUUUUUGGCUUUUCGGUUUUUGCCCGGUUUUUUCUAGGUAUUGGAGAAAAAAAUGGGGAUUCUUUUCGCACAAAAAGUAGUUGUGCUUCCAUGAGAAACACAUUUGCUUUCAUUUGUUAUUUUUGAAAAGGAAAAAUCAGUGCUUCCACGAGAAGCACACAUUUGCUUCUUCAAAAUAGAAAAAAAAAUUCUUCACAGGUAGCACAUAUAUUUGCUUCUUGUGGUGGCAUUGAUUUGCUUUCGCGAGAAGCACAAAAAAGGGGAAAAUGUACUCUCACGAGGAGCACACAUUUGCUUCCGUGAGAACCACAUCAGAAAAAAAACUAUGCUUCCACCAGAAUUACAUAAUUUCUUCUCAUGGAGACACGGAUUUGCUUCCUCAAGAAGCACAGAUUAUCGAAAAGAGAGAAAAAUUAAACAUGUGCUUCCAGUUCUAGAUUCUUUCUUCAAAAAUUUUGUCUUUCUUUCUUUUGUUACCUUAUUUAUUUAUUUUUUUAUCAUUUUUUACUUUUUAAAAAAAUUCAUCAAAACCUAAUAACUGAAGGAAAUAUGCCCUAGAGGCAAUAAUAAAGUUGUUAUUUAUAUUUCCUUAUAUCAUGAUAAAUGUUUAUUAUUCAUGCUAGAAUUGUAUUAACCUGAAACUUGAUACAUGUGUGAAUACAUAGACAAACAUAGUGUUCCUAGUAUGCCUCUAUUUGACUAGCUUGUUGAUCUAAGAUGGUUAAGUUUCCUAGCCAUAGACAUGUGUUGUCAUUUGAUGAACGGCCACAUUAUUAGAGAAUGAUGUGAUGGACAAGACCCAUCCGUUAGCUUAGCACUAUGAUCGUUUAGUUUGUUGCUAUUGCUUUCUUCAUGACUUAUACAUGUUCAUCAGACUAUGAGAUUAUGCAACUCCCGAAUACUGGAGGAACACUUAGUGUGCUAUCAAACGUCACAACGUAACUGGGUGGUUAUAAAGAUGCUCUACAGGUGUCUCCGAUGGUGUUUGUUGAGUUGGCAUAGAUUGAGAUUAGGAUUUGUCACUCCGAUUGUCGGAGAGGUAUCUCUGGGCCCUCUCGGUAAUGCACAUCACUAUAGACCUUGCAAGCAAUGUGACUAAUGAGCUAGUCACGGGAUGAUGCAUUACAGAAUGAGUAAAGAGACUUGCCGUUAAUGAGAUUGAACUAGGUAUUGAGAUACCGACGAUCGAAUCUCGGGCAAGUAACAUACCGAUGACAAAGGGAACAACGUAUAUUCUUAUGCGGUUUGACCGAUAAAGAUCUUCGUAGAAUAUGUAGGAACCAAUAUGAGCAUCCAGGUUCCACUAUUGGUUAUUGACCGGAAGUGAGUCUCGGUCAUGUCUACAUAGUUCUCGAACCCGUAGGGUCCGCACACUUAACGUUCGAUGACGAUCGGUAUUAUGAGUUUAUGUGUUUUGAUGUACCGAAGGUAGUUCGGAGUUCCGGAUGUGAUCACGGGCAUGACGAGGAGUCUCGAAAUGGUAGAUACAUAAAGAUCGAUAUAUUCGAAGGCUAUGUUUGGACAUCGGAAUGGUUCCAGAUGAGUUCGGGCAUUUUCCGGAGUACCGGGAGAUUACUAAUACGUCUCCGUCGUAUCUACUUUUCCAAACACUUUUGCCCUUGUUUUGGACUCUAACUUGCAUGAUUUGAAUGGAACUAACCCGGACUGACGCUGUUUUCAACAGAAUUGCCAUGGUGUUAUUUAUGUGCAGAAACAAAACUUCUCGGAAUGACCUGAAACUCCACGGAGAUUAUUUCUGUAAAUAAUAAAAAAUACUGGCAAAGAAUCAAGGCCAGGGGGCCCACACCCUAGCCACGAGGGUGGGGGUGCACCUGCCCCCCUAGGUGCGCCCCCUGCCUCGUGGGCCCCCUGGAGCUCCUCCGACCUCAACUCCAACUCUAUACAUUCGUGUUCGGGGAGAAAAAAAGGGAGAAGGAUUCAUUGCGUUUUACGAUACGGAGCCGCCGCCAAGCCCUAAACUCUCUCGGGAGGGCUGAUCUGGAGUCUGUUCGGGGCUCCGGAGAGGGGAAUCCGUUGUCGUCAUCAUCAUCAACCAUCCUCCAUCACCAAUUUCAUGAUGCUCACCACCGUGCAUGAGUAAUUCCAUCGUAGGCUUGCUGGACGGUGAUGGGUUGGAUGAGAUUUAUCAUGUCAUCGAGUUAGUUUUGUUAGGGUUUGAUCCCUAGUAUCCACUAUGUUCUGAGAUUGAUGUUGCUAUGACUUUGCUAUGCUUAAUGCUUGUCACUAGGGCCCGAGUGCCAGGAUUUCAGAUCUGAACCUAUUAUGUUUUCAUGAAUAUAUGUGAGUUCUUGAUCCUAUCUUGCAAGUCUAUAGUCACCUACUAUGUGUUAUGAUCCGGCAACCCCAAAGUGACAAUAAUCGGGACCACCCCGGUGAUGACCGUAGUUUGAGUUCAUGUAUUCACUAUGUGUUAAUGCUUUGGUCUGAUACUCUAUUAAAAGGAAGCCUUAAUAUCCCUUAGUUUCCACUAGGACCCCGCUGCCACGGGAGGGUAGGACAAAAGAAGUCAUGCAAGUUCUUUUCCAUAAGCAUGUAUGACUAUAUUCGGAAUACAUGCCUAUAUUACAUUGAUGAAUUGGGGCUAGUUUGUGUCACCCUAGGUUAUGACUGUUACAUGAUAAACUGCAUCCGGCAUAAUUCUCCAUCACUGAUCCAUUGCCUACGAGCUUUCCAUAUAUUGUUCUUCACUUAUUUAUUUUUCCGUUGCUAUUGUUAUCAUCACUAUAAAACACCAAAAAUAUUACUUUUUCUAUCAUUACCUUUUGCUACCGUUACCACUACCAUCAUAUUACUUUGCUACUAAACACUUUGCUGCAGAUAUUAAGUUAUCUAGGUGUGGUUGAAUUGAUAACUCAGCUGCUAAUACUUGAGAAUAUUCUUUGGCUCCCCUUGUGUCGAAUCAAUAAAUUUGGGUUGAAUACUCUACCCUCGAAAACUGUUGCGGUCCCCUAUACUUGUGGGUUAUCAAGACUAUUUUCUAGCGCCGUUGUCGGGGAGCAUAACUCUAUUCUUUGAGUCAUUUGAGAUUUAUAUCUUCUUAUCAUUAUGAAGAACUUGAGAGAUCCAAAAUCCAGGAUUUAUCCCUCAACUACGAGGGGAGGUAAGGAACUGCCAUCUAGCUCUGCACUUGACUCACCUUCUGUUUUGAGUAAGCUUGCGACACCUAGACCUGCUUCUGAUAUUAAUUCUGAUAUAUGUCGCAUAUUAUUGAUGAUGCCACUUCUGCUAUGCAUGAUACUUAUGAUGAAACUACUUCUAUGCUUGAUACUGCUGUACCACUUAGUGAAUUUCUUGAUGAACAACUUGCUAGGGCUAGAGAGAAUGAAAUUAUUGAAACUGAUAAUAUUGAUGAAAGCAAUGAUGAAGGCUCUCCUAAUAAAUAUGAAUUACCUGUUGUGCCUGAGGGCUAUGUUAUGGAUGAAGAAACUAAAAGAGACUUUCUUGCUUGCAAUGAUAGAAGUGAUCUUAAGAAAUCAUUAGCUAAGCUUAAACAAAAAAGUUUGAAUGCUAGAAUGAAAUAUGAUCCUUCUUAUGCUACUUCACCUAUCUUUGUUGCUGAUAAGGAUUAUGAAUUCUCUAUUGAUCCUGAUAUAAUUACUUUGGUUGAAUCUGAUCCUUUUUAUGGCUAUGAAUCUGAAACUGUUGUGGCACAUCUUACUAAAUUAAAUGAUAUAGUCACCCUGUUCACUAAUGAUGAGAGAACUCGCUACUUUUAUAUCCUUAAAAUAUUUCCGUUCUCAUUAAAGGGUGAUGCUAAGAUAUGGUUUAAUUCUCUUGAUCCUGGUUGUGUGCGUAGUCCCCAGGAUAUGAUUUAUUACUUCUGUACUAAAUAUUUCCCUGCUCAUAAGAAACAAGCUGCCUUAAGGGAUAUAUAUAUAAUUUUGUGCAAAUUGAAGAAGAGAGUCUCCCACAAGCUUGGGGGAGGCUUCUCCAAUUACUUAAUGCUUUGCCUGAUCAUCCUCUUAAGAAAAAUGAAAUACUUGAUAUAUUUUAUAAUGGACUAACCGAUACUUCCAGAGAUUACCUGGAUAGUUGUGCUGGUUCUGUUUUCAGGGAAAGGACACCGGAUGAAGCUGAAAUUCUACUGAAUAAUAUGUUGACGAAUGAAAAUAAUUGGACACUUCCUGAGCCAGCUCAUGAGCCUAUUCCUAAACCAACUCUGAAGAAAAGGGGUGUUCUAUUUCUCAGUCCUGAAGAUAUGCAAGAGGCAAAUAAAUCUAUGAAGGAAAAGGGUAUUAAAGCUGAAGAUGUUAAGAAUUUACCUCCUAUCGAAGAAAUACAUGGUCUUAAUUUACGACCUGUUGAAGAAAUAUAUGGUUUUAAUCCAUCACCUAUUGAAGAAACACACGGUCUUGAUAACCCGACACGGGAAGUAAAGGUAAAUUCUCUCUAUAGAUAUGAUAAAGCUGAAAUCCCUCCUACUAAGUUUGCUAGCCAAUGUUUGGAUGAGUUUGAUAACUUUAUGGUUAAGCAAGAAGACUUCAAUGCUUAUUUUGGUAGACAAUUGAAACAAAAUGCUUAUAUGAUUGAACACUUGGGUGAUUAUAUGUCUAGAGUUAAAGAUGAACUUAAACUCAUUAGUAAACAUGCUUAUAUGGUCACCACUCAAGUAGAACAAGUACUUAAAGCUCAAAAUGAUUUGCUCAAUGAAUUGAAUAAUAAGAAUAAUGACUAUGUUGUUAGAGUGGCUACUAGAACUGGUAAAAUGACUCAGGAACCUUUGUAUCCUGAAGGCCACCCUAAGAGAAUUGAGCAAGAUUCUCAGAGAAAUAAUAUAGAUGCACCUAGUCCUUCUAAAAGGAAGAAAAAUAAAAAUGAUAGGACUUUGCAUGCUUCUAGUGAACCUAUUGCUGAAACACCUGAGAAUCCAAAUGAUAUCUCUAUUUCUGAUGUUGAAACACAAUCUGGUAAUGAACAUGAAACUAGUGAUAAUGUUAAUGAUAAUGUUCAUGUUGAUGCUCAACCUAGUAAUGACAAUGAUGUAGAAAUUGAACCUGAUGCUGAUCUUGAUAACCCACAAUCAAAGAAUCAACGUUAUGAUAAGAAAGACUUUGUUGCUAGGAAACACGGUAAGGAAAGAGAGCCUUGGGUUCAGAAACCCAUGCCUUUUCCUCCUAAGCCAUCCAAGAAAAAGGAUGAUGAGGAUUUUGAGCGCUUUGCUGAAAUGAUUAGACCUAUCUUUUUGCGUAUGCGUUUGACUGAUAUGCUUAAAAUGAAUCCUUAUGCUAAGUACAUGAAAGAUAUUGUUACUAAUAAAAGAAAGAUACCGGAAGCUGAAAUUUCCACCAUGCUUGCUAAUUAUACUUUUAAGGGUGGAAUACCUAAGAAACUAAGAGAUCCAGGAGUACCAACUAUACCAUGCUCCAUUAAAAGAAAUUAUGUUAGAACUGCUUUAUGUGAUCUUGGAGCCGGUGUUAGUGUUAUGCCUCUCUCUUUAUAUCAUAGACUUGAUUUGAAUAAGUUGACACCUACUGAAAUAUCUUUGCAAAUGGAUGAUAAAUCAACUGCUAUACCGGUCGGUAUUUGCGAGGAUGUGCCUGUUGUGGUUGCAAAUGUGACUAUUUUAACGGACUUUGUUAUUCUUGAUAUUCCCGAGGACGAUAGUAUGUCUAUUAUUCUUGGAAGACCCUUUUUGAAUACUGCAGGGGUUGUUAUUGAUUGCACCAAAGGCAAUGUCACUUUUCAUGUUAAUGGUAAUGAGCAUACAGUACACUUUCCGAGGAAACAACCUCAAGUCCACAAUAUCAAUUCUAUUGGAAAAAUUCCAUCGAUUAUUUUUGGAGGUUUUGAAUUUCCUCUUCCUACUGUCAAGAAGAAAUAUGAUAUUCUUAUUGUUGGGGAUGUGCAUAUCCCCAUUGAGGUAACCUAGUGUUAUUCGAAAUUUCUCCGGUUUCAUGUUACUCGAAAUGAGUUUGUUAACAAGACUUGAUCAACCUUGUUAGUGGAUUCCUUUUGAUGAGCAUGAUAUGGAUGAAGCUAGAAAACACAACUCUCUGUACCUUCUUUUUACUUUCUGUUAUUUAUAUUAAAUAAAGCAAAAUAGUAAUUUCUGUUUGUUUUCUGAUUAUCCGUGCAAUAUAAAAAUACCCGGAAAAUAAAAGUUCUCCAAAUGCCCUGAAAUUUAAAUAUGAUUUUUAUGGAAUAUUUGAGAAUAUCUGGCACUGAGAACACAGCAGGGGGAGCGAGCACCUGGCCACGAGGGUCCAUGGCGCGCCAACCCCCCUGGGCGCGCUCCCCUGCCUCAUGGGCCCAUGGUGGCUCCCCUCCACUUAUUCCUGCACCCACACACUUCUUCUUCCUCCCAAAAAAAUCACUAUCCAGCUCAAGCACGAGUUCUAGCUCAUUUUACUGCGAUUUUCGAUCUCCUUGCUCAAAGCACCCCUCACAAAACUGCUUUGGAGGAUUGUUCCUUGGUAUGUGACUCCUCCAUUGGUCCAAUUAGUUUUUGUUCUAGUGCCUUAUUCAUUACAAAUUUGUGCUGCCUAGGUGACCAUGUUCUUGAGCUUGCAUGUCAAAUGUAUAUGGUUCCAAGUAGUUCUAACGCAUGAUAUAGGCUCUAGACACUUGUAGGAGUAGUUGCUAUCAAUUUUGUUGAGUUUGGUUUACUUUUAUUUGAAGUUACUAAAAAUUUCAGAAUUUUUCAGAAAAUAAUGAAGAGAUUUUUGAGGGGCUCAUCGAGCCGAAGCUCGAAGGAAAAGCAAAAUGAAGAAGCAGAGAGGCCCAAAUAUAAUCUGCCUCGCACCGCAGAGGUUCGGCGGUGUGAAUGGCCUUCCGAUGAUUUCUUGAGAGCCGCCGGGAUUUAUGAUGAUUUCUAUGAAUUGGCUGAGAAUGCAGGCCUCACCGCCUUCCUCCACGACCAACGCGAACAGUAUCUCUUACUCACAAAUAUCUUUGUGCAAAACUUUCAUUUCCAUGCUAGGAGCUCACCACCUACGGUGGAGUUUUAUUUAUAUAAUGAGCAUAAGGAGAUGUCACUUCGUGAUUUUUGUCGGGUUUGUUUGAUCCCUUCCGAGGGCAUCAUAGAGGAACCACAUCGUGAUGAAUGUGGAUGGGUUUAUUGAUACCAUCACUGUAGGGGAAACAAAGAAGGUUUCCGACGCACGAACUACUAGCAUACACUUUCAUGUUCUACGUUACUUUGCUAUAUUUGCUAGUAGAUGCUUAAUUGGGCGCAGAAACUGUGGAAAUCUGAGUGCCCCUGAUAUUGUUAUUUUGUGCCACGCCUUAUUUCAUGAUGAUACAUUCAGUAUGGGUGCUAUUAUUGCAAAACGGUUAAAUCUUAACCGUACUAAGGGCCCCGUCUUUGGAGGCAUCUUCGCCUCGCGCCUAGCUGCACAUUUUAAUAUACCUAUUAGGCACUAUGAAAAAGAAGAAAAAAUGUUGCCUACUGUUUAUUUAGAUUAUAAGAGUAUGGUAGUGCAUGAUUUUAUUGUAAAGAAUAGGGAAAAUGAGUUCAAAUACAAAUUGUUCUUUGAUAAACAUCAUCCUGAGACUAUUACCCUGCCUGCUCCUUCCUUGUUUGAUUUAUCUGCAGGCAAGUACCUUGUUCCAUUGGAGGCUAUUCACGCCUACCGAAACCCUACAUCAGUUGCAGAUCCAGAGUCGGAACCACAAUUUGAUCCUCCACGACAGCCUAAUUACCAGUGGGAUCCGGAGAUGAUUGCCAACCAGUGGCAAUCAGAGUCUUCUUCUUCGCAGUACGACCCCAACUAUUACUUUGGAUAUCCGCCAGGCCAGCUGUGGCCAUAGACCAACUUAGGCCAAAAGCCUAAGCUUGGGGGAGUACGUAUUUUCCACCGACAUUACAUUCAUGUUCACACACUCAUUGCUAGAUGUUGGUGCUCAUACUUUUUCAUUGUAUCAACCAUACUAGUUUAUUUCCUUUUUAUGCUUUCUUCUUGUGUGUUUAAUAAACCUUAAGAAAAACCAAAAAAAAUUAGUUGCAGCUUUUAGCUAGUUUUAAUUUCCAUACUUGUAGUAGUAAUUAAAAAGAAAACCCCAAAAGAUUUCAUGUUCUUCUUUUGCUUGUUGGGAGCUUUCCCGUGUAAAUAGUUUUAUUUCUUUUCUUUUCUUUGGGGGUCUAUAGGAGAAGACCAUAAUUAAAUUGUUGAAGUGACUCCUAUAUGCAUUAUUGUUGAUUUAACCAAGAGUCCAUAUUGCCUUGUCUUCUCCUGUUUAUUGAAUGCUUGCAGAUUCCAGCUUAGUCCAAUGCACGUGCACUAUUAUUAUUAUUCACAUCAUUCGGUCGUGUAAGUGAAAGGCAAUUAUGAUGAUAUAUGAUGGACUGAUUGAGAUGGGAGAAGCUGGUAUGAACUCGACCUCUCUUGUUUUUGUAAAUAUGAUUAGUUCAUCAUUCCUGAUUCAGCCUAUUAUGAAUAAACAUAUUUGCAAUGAAAAUUAGAGAUUAUAAUUGCUUAUGUCAUGCUUAAUUAGCUAGGAGCUUAUAAUGGUUUACCUUGCGUGCCAACAUGCUAUUAAAAUGGUUGUGAUGUGGUAUGAUAGGGUGGUAUCCUCUUUUGAAUGAUUCGAGUGGCUUGACUUGGCACAUGUUCACGCAUGUAGUUGAAACAAAAUCAACAUAGCCUCUACGAUAUUUAUGUUCAUGGUGCAUUAUAUCCUACUCAUGCUUGCAUUAGGUGUUGAUUAAUUUUAAUGCAUGUUCAUGACUGUUGUCGCUCUCUAGUUGGUCGCUUCCCAGUCUUUUUCUAGCCUUCACCCGUACUAAGCGGGAAUACUGCUUGUGCAUCCAAUCCCAUAAACCCCAAAGUUGUUCCAUAUGAGUCCACCAUACCUACCUAUAUACGGUAUCUACCUUCCGUUCCAAGUAAAUUUGUAUGUGCCAAACUCUAAACCUUCAAAUAAACAUUCUGUUUUGUAUGCUCGAAUAGCUCAUGUAUCAACUAGGGUUAUCCGUCUCUUCCAUGUUAGGCGGGUUAUUCUCAAGAGGAGUGGACUCCGCUCCUCACUCAUGAGAAAAUGGCUGGUCACCGAGAUGCCCAGUCCCAUGCUUUAUGCAAAUCAAAUCAAAAUAAUUGCAAACAAAAAUCCCCCGAGACUGUUGUUAGUUGGAGGCACUCGUUGUUUCGAGCAAGCCAUGGAUUGAUGCUUGUUGGUGGAGGGGGAGUAUAAACUUUACCAUUCUGUUUGGGAACCGCCUAUAAUGUGUGUAGCAUGGAAGAUAUCGCCAUCUCUUGGUUGUUAUGUUGACAAUGAAAGUAUGCCACUCAAAAUAUUAUUCAUAUGUAUUUCAAAACCGAGCUCUGGCACCUCUACAAAUCCCUGGUUCCCUCUGCGAAGGGCCUAUCUAUUUACUUUCAUGUUGAGUCAUCAUCCUCUUAUUAAAAAGCACCAGUUGGAGAGCACCGCUGUCAUUUGCAUUCAUUACUGUUAGUUUACAUUGAGUAUGACUUGAUUGGAUCUCUUUUACCAUGAAUUACAAUGUCUAGUCAGUCCUUGAUCUUUAAAGGUGCUCUGCAUUUAUGUUUUGUGGUCUCAGAAAGGGCUAGCGAGAUACCAUCUUGUUAUAUCAUAUUAUGAUUGUUUUGAGAAAGUGUUGUCAUCCGAGAUUUAUUAUUAUUGCUCGCUAGUUGAUUAUGCCAUUGAUAUGAGUAAACAUGAGACCUAAGAGUUAUUGUGAAUAUGGUUAGUUCAUAAUCUUUGCUGAAAACUUGAAUGCUGGCUUUACAUAUUUACAACAAUAAGAGCAAACAGAGUUUGUAAAAGUUUUUCUUUAUCACUUUCAGUUUUUCAAUUGAAUUGCUUGAGGACAAGCAAAGGUUUAAGCUUGGGGGAGUUGAUACGUCUUCGUCGUAUCUACUUUUCCAAACACUUUUUCCCUUGUUUUGGACUCUAACUUGCAUGAUUUGAAUGGAACUAACGCGGACUGGCGCUGUUUUCAGCAGAAUUGCCAUGGUGUUAUUUAUGUGCAAAAACAAAAGUUCUCGGAAUGACCUGAAACUCCACGGAGAUUAUUUUUGGAAAUAAUAAAAAUACUGGCAAAGAAUCAAGGCCAGAGGGCCCACACCCUAGCCACGAGGGUGGAGGCGCUCAUGCCCCCCUGGGCGCGCCCCCUGCCUCGUGGGCCUCCUGGAGCUCCUCCGACCUCAACUCCAACUCUAUAUAUUCGUGUUCGGGGAGAAAAAAAUAAGGGAGAAGGAUUCAUCGCAUUUUACGAUACGGAGCCGCCGCCAAGCCCUAAACUCUCUCGGGACGGAUGAUCUGGAGUCCGUUCGGGGCUCCGGAAAGGGGAAUCCGUCGACGUCAUCAUCAUCAACCAUCCCCCAUCACCAAUUUCAUGAUGCUCACUGUCGUGCGUGAGUAAUUCCAUCAUAGUCUUGUUGGACGGUGAUGGGUUGGAUGAGAUUUAUCAUGUAAUCGAGUUAGUUUUGUUAGGGUUUGAUCCCUAGUAUCCACUAUGUUCUGAGAUUGAUGUUGCUAUGACUUUGCUAUGCUUAAUGCUUAUCACUAGGGCCCGAGUGCCAUGAUUUCAGAUCUGAACCUAUUAUGUUUUCAUGAAUAUAUGUGAGUUCUUGAUCAUAUCUUGCAAGUCUAUAGUCACCUACUAUGUGUUAUGAUCCGGCAACCCCGAAGUGACAAUAAUCGGGACCACUCCCGGUGAUGACCGUAGUUUGAGGAGUUCAUGUAUUCACUAUGUGUUAAUGCUUUGGUCCGGUACUCUAUUAAAAGGAGGCCUUAGUUUCCACUAGGACCCUGCUGCCACGGGAGGGUAGGACAAAAGAUGUCAUGCAAGUUCUUUUCCAUAAGCACGUAUGACUAUAUUCGGAAUACAUGCCUACAUUACAUUGAUGAAUUGGAUCUAGUUCUGUGUCACCCUAGGUUAUGACUAUUACAUGAUGAACCGCAUCCGGCAUAAUUCUCCAUCACUGAUCCAUUUCCUACGAGCUUUCCAUAUAUUGUUCUUCGCUUAUUUAUUUUUCCGUUGCUAUUGUUAUCAUCACUAUAAAACACCAAAAAUAUUACUUUUGCUAUUGUUACCAUUUGCUACCGUUACCACUACUAUCAUAUUACUUUGCUACUAAACACUUUGCUGCGGAUGUUAAGUUAUCCGGGUGUGGUUGAAUUGACAACUCAGCUGCUAAUACUUGAGAGUAUUCUUUGGCUCCCCUUGUGUCGAAUUAAUAAAUUUGGGUUGAAUACUCUACCCUCGAAAACUGUUGCGAUCCCCUAUACUUGUGGGUUAUCAGUUACCGGAACCCCCCGGGGAGUCAAUGGGUCUUAAUGGGCCCUAGUGGAGAAAGAAGGCAGCAGGAGAGUGGUGGGGCACCCCCUCCCUAGGCCCAAACCGAAUUGGUUUAGGGUUUGCCCCCCCCCCUUUCCUUCUCCUCUCCUCCUCCUUUCUCCUUCUCCUAAUAGGAAUAGGAAAGGGGGGCAAACCUACUUGGAGUAGGAUUGCCCCCCCUUGGGCGCGCCUCCUCCUAGGUCGGCCCUCUCCUUCUUCCCCCUUUAUAUAUGGGGGAGGGGGCACCCCAUAGACACACAAGUUGAUUGUUUAGCCGCGUGCGGUGCCCCCCUCCAUAGAUUUUUCCACCUCGGUCAUAUCGUUGUAGAGCUUAGGCGAACCCUGUGUCAGUAACUUCAUCAUCACCGUCAUCACGUCAGCGUGCUAACGAAACUCUCCCUCGACCUCAGCUGGAUCUAGAGUUCAUGGGACGUCACCGAGCUGAACGUGUGCAGAUCGCGGAGGUGCCGUACCUUCGAUGCUAGGAUCGGUUGGAUCGUGAAGACGUACGACUACAUCAACCGCGUUGUCAUAACGCUUCCGCUUUUGGUCUACGACGGUACGUAGACACACUCUCCCCUCUCGUUGCUAUCACUACUAGGGAAAAGGCUAGCAGCAGCGCGGGUUUUAGACCUAUUAGUAGCGCGGGGUGGUGCGCUACUGAUAAGGCGCUACAGCUAACGAAUAGCAGUAGCGUGCCUCCACCCAUGCUACGGCUAAAUCGACUUAGUAGCAGCGAGUUCCAGGAGGAGCGCUGCUGGUAAUUAGUAGUAGCGCUUCACUCUGCCCGCGCUGCUACUAUUAUUUCGUAUUUUAUUUCUUUUUUAUUUCAUGUUGUAUUCGUACACCUUUACACAAAUUUUCAUACAACAGAAAUUUACAAAUUGUUUUUACAUCAUCAUGAGUUAUUAUAUCACGGGGUGAAAGAACCGUGUGGACUAGUUUCAAGUGGACGGACAUCCACUUGAAACUAAUCCGCGGUUCUUUCACCCAAUGAUAUAAUAAAUAUCAUCAUCAUCAUAUCAUUAACAACUUAUCAUCAUCAUCAUAUCAUUGGUCACUAGUCGUAUUCACAAGUACUCCUGACAUCUUUAACUCUAACACAUUGUAUCACAUAAUAAACAUAUUGUACCUCAUAGGACCUACUACAUUCUCUUAGGACAUACUAUAUUCUCUAAGGUAAAAUAGCAAAAAACAAGAUAGCCCCUCGCUCUCCAUUAUGGAGAAUGCAGAUUAUCCUGUCUCCAAUUCUUGCCUUUCGCUUAAUGUUGCUUCCAAGAACCUCCUUACGAAUGUCUAAACAUUUUUCCACUCUUUGAUUAGCAUGUGUUCACCGGUUUUAGAAAUUCGAUAUGCACAGGUGAGAUCCGUAGGAUGCCCUGGCUGUAGGUUCAGAACUUCAAGGCGACCAUUGUAAUACAUCAGAUGAGGCACACAAUCCAUCGGAAUUUUCUGUUGAAAAACAUAGUAAUAAGUUCGUAGUUAGCAAUGAUGUACUAGUUUUAGAAGUAUGCAAAAGAUGCACGGAUGUCGUAAUAGUAAAAUAUCUUACCAGGGUAUCUCCAUAGAAGUUAUCGUGGUUCAACACGUGCACUAGUGGCACGUAUUCACCAUAAUUUGGAGGAGUUUGAUAAUAGGUAUUGUAAUUCUCAAAAAAAGUACAGUAAGCAAUCAGAUGAUUUUUCUCCUUAUAAGUUAAUUCGGAGCCAUCAGUGUAGUGGGUUUUGUCUACCAUCUUCUGCACAUUCUUUGAAGAUUUAAAAUAAGCUGUCAACUAUUUUGAAAUAAACAAUAUAAAUUAGUUAAUAACUAUGUUUGAGAAACUCACAUUGCGCUAGAAUCGGAAGCGUAUCAACAAGGACCCAAAUGUCCAUAUUGUCUUGCUCGAUGUCAGGAUGACCAAGAUCCAUGGUGACAAUCAUACCCUCAUAAAAACCAUACAUUUUGCAAAGUGCUUCCCAAUUUUGACAACCAAAAUGGUUUACGCUCUGAGAAUUAUAUAGAUUUACUUCAAAAUCGAUAUCAUGAUGGGUCCUUAGGUGUAUUUUCUUUGUUUGAAAAUUUUCAUGGUCUUCAAAACCCAUCCUCUCCAAGACAUAGCGUCUUGCAUGGCAUGGGAUAAGCUAGUCGAAUUGUAAAAGAUGAAAAUUAGACGUUGAAAUAGUUGAAGUCAUGCUUAAUUAUGAAAAAAAAACACUUGUCGUUGUUGCGUACCGUUUCAACAUCGAAGGUCUCCUCGAGCUUAAUGCUGAAGCGCCGAUCUUCGUCCAGCUCAACGAACCUGUCGCACAUAUCUCGAUCAUCGUGGCACCAGCUACACUCCCCCGGGAGACUGUCGUCGUCCGAGUACGACAUUUCCUACGUUCAUAAUUCAAAGAUUAAACUUGUACAAUUAAAUAUAUAUACUAAAAAACCUAAAUUAGAUCAUUAUUUUUCAAAGAAAAUCCAGGCCACUCGAUAUUUCCCACAUAUUCUAGCACAAGUCAUGCCAGAAAUCACGGAAAAAUCCGGCAUGACCUUUGCUAAAAAAGGACAUAUCGAGCGCCUGAAAUUUGCCGGAACGGAAAUUAAUCAACACUCCAGCAAAACAUAGGCCACUCGGAGGUGUAACCAAAACAUGAAAUAAUUGCUUAAACUAAAAAAUAACACCAAAUAUGGCAUGUUCAACUAAUUCUAUUAAUUCAACUAGUUCUUACUAAAUAUAAACUUAGUAUAAAAAGAAAAAAACUAGUUCUUUCUAAAAAUGAAGUAGUUCAACUAGUUAUUAAUUUACUUACUAUACUAGUUCAACUAAAACUUAACUAGUUCAACUAAAACUAAACUAGUUCUAUUAAUUCAACUAGUUCUUACUAAAUAUAAACUUACUAUAAAUAGAAAGAAACUAGCACAUCUACUACUACUAAUUAACAUCUAACUACUACAUCUACUACUAAUUAACAUGUACUACUGCUAAUUAUACAACUAGUUUACCAUCACUACUAGUAAUUAAUAUCCACUACUUCUAAAAAUCAUUAUCUAUGAACCCUAAAUUAACAUCUACUACUACUAAAAUCAUCUACUAACUAAGCAAAGAGAGAGGGGGUUGGGGAGGGGUGGGGGNNNNNNNNNNNNNNNNNNNNNNNNNNNNNNNNNNNNNNNNNNNNNNNNNNNNNNNNNNNNNNNNNNNNNNNNNNNNNNNNNNNNNNNNNNNNNNNNNNNNNNNNNNNNNNNNNNNNNNNNNNNNNNNNNNNNNNNNNNNNNNNNNNNNNNNNNNNNNNNNNNNNNNNNNNNNNNNNNNNNNNNNNNNNNNNNNNNNNNNNNNNNNNNNNNNNNNNNNNNNNNNNNNNNNNNNNNNNNNNNNNNNNNNNNNNNNNNNNNNNNNNNNNNNNNNNNNNNNNNNNNNNNNNNNNNNNNNNNNNNNNNNNNNNNNNNNNNNNNNNNNNNNNNNNNNNNNNNNNNNNNNNNNNNNNNNNNNNNNNNNNNNNNNNNNNNNNNNNNNNNNNNNNNNNNNNNNNNNNNNNNNNNNNNNNNNNNNNNNNNNNNNNNNNNNNNNNNNNNNNNNNNNNNNNNNNNNNNNNNNNNNNNNNNNNNNNNNNNNNNNNNNNNNNNNNNNNNNNNNNNNNNNNNNNNNNNNNNNNCGGCGAGGGCGGGCUCGGGAUCAGGAGGGCGGCGGGCUCGGCGGGCUCGGUCGAGGGCGGCGGCGGUGAGGUCGAGGGCGGCGACAGUGUGGUCGAGAGCGGCGGCGGUGAGGUUGAGGGCGGGCGGCGGCGGUGAGGGCGCAGGCGCGCUUGGGCUCGGGCGGCAGCGACAGGGAGUAGGGGAACAGGCCGGUGGGGGGGGGGAGGAGGACUUAGCGAAAUUUUGAUGCGGGGGUGGUUAACUCGAACUAGCAGUAGCGCACAUACAGAAAACGUGCUAUAGCUAACUUAUCUACAACGCGUUUUGGAAAAAACCGCUACUGCUAAUGGAAGCAGUUAUUUCUUUUGUUUAGUAAAAACAUCAAAAAUAUACAUUGGUCAUCAUUGAUAUUUUUGUGUAUAAUCUAAAUAGUCAACAUGAAUCCUCACUGUACCUGUAUAGGUACAGGCGAGGAUUCAUAUUGCAACCACAAAUCAUACAUAUAUAGUUCAAUGAAGACCAAGUGCUCGAGAUAGGUUGAGAAGCAACAUAUUUAAGGUGGUAAACACCUUGUUCGCUUAGCAGUAUGGGACUAAACUUAAUUAGUUGCGGUCAUACUUACCAGCAGCGAGUUUUGAGCAAAACCGCUGCUACUAAGUUCUUUAGCAGUAGCGCGUCCACGGGAAGGGUGCUACUACUAUAUCUAGCCUGGAGGUAACACCGUGGCAAUUAUAGUAGUAGCGCUCUUUUCACCUAGAGCGCUACUGCUACUCAGUCAUUAGCAGCGCUCUUUUCUAAAGCUCGUUGCUGCUAAUUAGCAGUAGCGUCUGUUUUUAGACCGCGCUGCUGCUAAGAUUCUGUGUAUAAGGUUUUCCCUAGUAGUGUAUGCAUCUCCUAGAUAUAUCUUGCGUGAUCGUAGGUAAAAAAUUUGAAAUACUGCGUUCCCCAACAAUAACAUGAGGUCUAGUUUCAAAAAUGUCGACGCGAGAAAUCCAACAACGAAAACGAUUCGAGAUUUAAACACACAAUCCAAGAGAUAAAACACUUUGAAUAACCGAAUCUAAGAAGAAGAAAAAUUCUCGGGUAGGCCACUUGUCAGCGCCUGAGAAGGUGUGAAAGACCUUUCUGAGGGGCAACCCAUAACUAGUGAUUUCGCACGAGUUCCGNNNNNNNNNNNNNNNNNNNNNNNNNNNNNNNNNNNNNNNNNNNNNNNNNNNNNNNNNNNNNNNNNNNNNNNNNNNNNNNNNNNNNNNNNNNNNNNNNNNNNNNNNNNNNNNNNNNNNNNNNNNNNNNNNNNNNNNNNNNNNNNNNNNNNNNNNNNNNNNNNNNNCCGGAUGCACUUUCGGGCCGGCCCAUGCGAAAGGCGGGUUUCUUUUUUUGUUUUCUUUUUUAUUUCCUGUUUUAGUUUUUUGCUUUAAAAAAAGAGGAUUUCAACAUUACUAUAUUUCAAAAUAUGUUCAAAUUAAUAAACAUUCCAAAUUUUGAAAAAAUGAGUGUAAAUUUGAAUAACGGUCUUGGAUUUAAAAAAUUGUUAGUACAUUUUAGGAUUUGAUAAAACAUUCCAAAACUCAGAAAAUCGAAAUGAAUUUGCAAAUUGUUAAUAAAUUCAAAAGAAAUAUUUAUAAAUUCCCAGAAAAAAGGAGAGAAGAAAACUCGGUGUCGUUCCACUGGUUUGCUGCUGAGGCCGUUGACGCCGGGCAAGGGAGGAUGGUGUCCCGAUCGGGCUUCAUGUCCCUUACCGUGUGACGUGCGCUAGCCCCAGGACAAGGGAAAAGGUGAAAAGGUAGUCCGGCAAAUAUUCACUGAUACGAAACAUGUUCAUGAAAUUUAAAAAUUGUUUCGAAAAUUCAAAAAAAAGUUUAUCAGUUCAACAUAUAUUCAUGCAACCCCAUUUUGUCACUCCCUUUCCGGUCCUUCCUCACCCUUGGCAAUACUAUGCGCAUACGUCGUACCUCCCUACCUCUAUCUUAUUCCCGACUAUAUCCUACGCUGCAUACUUCCCAGCCCUGUCCCAUCGCUGGCUAUAUCCUACACCAUGUAAUCAUACCCCUAUCCUUUAUACAGCUCUCAAUGGUGCAUACUAAAGAAAUAAAGUGCCUAGAGUUUGAUUUUUCUGUUUUUUAACUUUCUUUACUGUCCCUGGGAUUUAAUGCUGAAGGCCAGCAAAAUAAAUUGAGUUGGAGCUAGUUACAUAGCGCCAGUCGCUAACUCUUCUUUGUUCUUCUAGAGUCAACAAGAGAAAGAGAUAAUAAGAUGAGCAGUUGUCGCUGCCUCCACCGGUUUACGCAAGGAUGGCCCCAUCAUCUGUCGUUCCUGGCCACCAUCUGUCAUGUGCCAUCGCUCCUCCUCGCCCUUUCCUCCUCCGCCCUCCUCCCCCUCUUCCUAUUCGACCUACCCUCUGUCGAGGGAGCCCCAUAGGAACAAACCCUAGGUUGAUGUUGCACGACUGUGAAUGUUAGAAGCAGAAGGCGUGCUGCCCAUGACGAUAGUGCGGUGUUCAAAAAAGCUCAUUGAUUUAAAAAAUAUUCAUGAUCUUUACAAAUAAAAAAUAAUGAAUUCCAAAAUUGUUCCCAAAAUUCAAAAUAUGUUAGCAUAUUCCAAAUUUUAUUCCCAGCAAUUUAGAAAUCACUGAUUCAAUGUUCACAAAUUUUAAAAAACUUUGCCAAAAAUUGUUCCCAAAGUUUUAAAAAUGUUCAUCAAUUCAAAAAAUUCAUGAAAUUAAAAAAGAACUUUUUAAAGUGCUCACGCAUUCAAAAGAACUUAUGAAUUUCAAAAAAUGUUCCUAAAUUUCAUAAGAUGAUCCUGAUUUUGAUAUGGAGAAUUAAGAAGAAUAUAAAAGCAGGAAAAAGAAAAACACAUAAAUAAAAAACUAGCUAGGGAAAGUUCUAGAACCUUCACAAAAAUGGUGGAAGAGUAGCACGUAAAAAUUGCUAAUAUGGGCUGACCCAUUUAUGAGCGACCAGUCGGGGCGUGUGCAUUUGGUAUCUAUUCCCUGGCCAACACUGGAAAUAGGAGCUAACAUUCUGUAUGGGAGCUCCUAGUCGACGCCUUAUGCCUCGUCUAGGAGUUCUGGCGCCCACUAGCUGCUGCAAUGGGCCGACACAUUUUACCACUCGCGAUGCGGUCCUCGGCAGGGCGCGUUUCGUUCAUCGGUCAACAAUUGACUUUUGAAAGAAAAAACUAUUUUUAAGAAAACCGAUUUUUGCAAAAUAAAAAAUAAAAAAAUCGUGAUUUUAAAAUUUUCAUGGGUUUUUAAAAAAGUUGACAACUUUAAAACAUCACGAAUUUGGAAAAAAGGUUCAUCAAAUUUGAAAAACAACUAUAUUUCAAAAAAAACUGUUCAUCAAUUUUGGAAAGAAGUUCAUCAAACAUGAAAAAUAUCCAUCGGAUUUGAAAGAUAAAUAAUCAUUUAAAAAAAGGUUCAUAUAGGAGGGUAAGAGAAAACCAGCAUGGCCCAAUAUUCAUAUGAAAAAUUAAUUACUCGCCCAUCCUGGCCCAAAAUCAUGGACCGGAGGAGUGUCAUGUCACACAUACGUUGAUACGUUUGCCUAAAAAAACAUACAUUGAUACGUAUUCCCUCCGUCCUUAAAAGAGUGUAUUUCCAACUUUGUUGGAAGGUCAAACUAUUUCAAAGUUUGAUCGAGUUUGUGCAAAAAUAUGUCAAUGCUUGUGAAAUCAAAUAGGUAUAUGACACAAAUAUAUUUUAUUAUGAAUCUGAUGCUACUAAUUUGAUGACAUAAAUUUUAAUCUAUUACUGUAUAAAUACAAUCAAACAUAAAAAUUCAACUUUCCAACAAAGUUGACGCUGCUGCAGAUUCGAUCGACUUCGUGGUUUUUUCCCCCAAAACCCUAAAACCCUCUAGCGGCGAUUAGGGUUUUGACCGUGGAACUCGUCUUCGCCCGGAGAUUAGUCGACGAUGGUGAGGUCCUGUCCGCUGCAAGAUGGUUNNNNNNNNNNNNNNNNNNNNNNNNNNNNNNNNNNNNNNNNNNNNNNNNNNNNNNNNNNNNNNNNNNNNNNNNNNNNNNNNNNNNNNNNNNNNNNNNNNNNNNNNNNNNNNNNNNNNNNNNNNNNNNNNNNNNNNNNNNNNNNNNNNNNNNNNNNNNNNNNNNNNNNNNNNNNNNNNNNNNNNNNNNNNNNNNNNNNNNNNNNNNNNNNNNNNNNNNNNNNNNNNNNNNNNNNNNNNNNNNNNNNNNNNNNNNNNNNNNNNNNNNNNNNNNNNNNNNNNNNNNNNNNNNNNNNNNNNNNNNNNNNNNNNNNNNNNNNNNNNNNNNNNNNNNAGGCUACUCCCUUGGUAAUCGAUGAUCGCGUCGAGGGAGCACCGGCAAGGUGGUUGGUGGCUGGCAAAAUUCUUCAUCGCAGUCUGUUCCAUAUACAGACCAUCACCAAUGCCUUGAGGCCGGCCUGGGGUAACCCAAGGGGAUUGAAGUUCAGAUCUGUGGGCUUUAACACGUUUGUGGCUGAAUUUGAAACCCAAUGCGAUCAGGAUCGUGUGUGGGGUGGAUCGCCAUGGCACAUCAAUAAGCAUGCCGUGGUGCUGGCGGAGUUUGAGGAACAUAUGAGACCGGACGAAGUUAAGUUUGACAAGCUCUAAAUCUGGGCUAGGGUUGUGAAUCUCCCCUACAAUCUAAGGGAUGAAUCUUGGUGGGGCGCCGAUUGCAAAGCAGAUGGAUAAACACGCCCAGUCAAUUAGCUUUGAUCACACCUGUCAUGGAAUUGUCACGGCAGAUGUCCUAGUGUGAGGACUUAGUCGUGAGGCCAACACAUCUACGCGGUAGCUUGAAGGGGUUGGUCGGAAUCGAGAGACGUGAGGCGGAUCAACACACAAGACAAGGAUUUAGACAGCUUCGGGCCCUGAGAAACAUCAUCCGGUAAUAGCCCUACAUGUUGUUUGUGGCUAGGUUUCAUUAUGCGCAUGAGAGAGUCACCGCAUAAGCCGGCUCCCCCUUUAUGUCUAGCCCUAGAGAUUGUUUCUUUCUUCUCCCUCUUUGGGGAGCCCUGCCCCUCCUUAUAUAAGUUGAAGGGGCGGGUUACAUGUGGAGUCCUAUUAGGAUUAGGACUAGUCUAUUACAAGUGGAAUCCUAGUCUACCCCCCUUAAGGGAAAACUCCUUAUGCCUUUCCUCGUAAACCGGCCCACCAUAACAUGAGCUGGCCUUCUGGGCCUUGGGCCUAGUCUUCUAUCUGACCCGCCGUUAAGGGCCAUCCGUGAGCCGCCAGGUUCGUGAGUCGCCACUACGACGGGUUACCAAUGAAAACGCCAAGCCCGGCCGAGUCAUACUUCCGACCGGGUCAUAACGUAGGGUAUAUCCCCGACAUUAGCCCCCAGUUUAAUUUGGAUUUCUCCAUGUUAAACUGAUCCUGUAAAAUAAACACAAGAACAAACUUGAUAGGUUGUGCUCCUGGUUAAAUAUUUUCCUGAAUCGGCACAUGAUCAUCUUUAAGUCCUUGUCAUUUCCUCUUGGAUGCAUACUCAAGAUCUUAUAGCAAAUAUCUUUUAACAGAUAUGUCCAAACCUUGCCAAUGCAAAAAAUCCAGGCACUUCUUAAAAAAUCCGGGUCAAUAGGCCAGCUUCAUAACCAAUUUGCUGACAUUGGCUCUUGUAGAGAAAUAUUAUAAGAAAUAAUCCAUUUGAGUCAGCCUUCAAUGCUCUGACUUGNNNNNNNNNNNNNNNNNNNNNNNNNNNNNNNNNNNNNNNNNNNNNNNNNNNNNNNNNNNNNNNNNNNNNNNNNNNNNNNNNNNNNNNNNNNNNNNNNNNNNNNNNNNNNNNNNNNNNNNNNNNNNNNNNNNNNNNNNNNNNNNNNNNNNNNNNNNNNNNNNNNNNNNNNNNNNNNNNNNNNNNNNNNNNNNNNNNNNNNNNNNNNNNNNNNNNNNNNNNNNNNNNNNNNNNNNNNNNNNNNNNNNNNNNNNNNNNNNNNNNNNNNNNNNNNNNNNNNNNNNNNNNNNNNNNNNNNNNNNNNNNNNNNNNNNNNNNNNNNNNNNNNNNNNNNNNNNNNNNNNNNNNNNNNNNNNNNNNNNNNNNNNNNNNNNNNNNNNNNNNNNNNNNNNNNNNNNNNNNNNNNNNNNNNNNNNNNNNNNNNNNNNNNNNNNNNNNNNNNNNNNNNNNNNNNNNNNNNNNNNNNNNNNNNNNNNNNNNNNNNNNNNNNNNNNNNNNNNNNNNNNNNNNNNNNNNGAUUAUUUCUUAUAAUAUUUCUCUACAAGAGCCAAUGUCAGAAAAUUGGUUAUGAAGCCGGCCUAUUGACCCGUAUUUUUUAACAAGUGCCUGGAUUUUUUGCAUUGGCAAGGUUUGGACAUAUCUGUUAAAAGAGAUUUGCUAUAAGAUCUUGAGUAUGCAUCCAGGAGGAAAUGACAAGGACUUAAAGAUGAUCAGGUGUCGGUUCAGGAAAAUAUUUAACCCGGAGCACAACCUAUCAAGUUUGUUCUUGUGUUUAUUUUACAGGAUCAGUUUAACAUGGAUAAAUCCAAAUAAAACUGGGGGCUAAUGUUGGGGAUAUACCCCGCGUUAUGACCCGGCCGGGCUUGGCGUUUUCAUUGGUAACCUAUCGUAGUGGCGACUCACGAACCUGGCGGCUCACGCAUGGCCCUUAACGGCGGGUCGGAUAGAAGACUAGGCCCAAGGCCCAUAAGGUCGGCUCAUGUUAUGGUGGGCCGGUUUACGAGGAAAGGCAUAAGGAGUUUUCCCUUAAGGGGUGCAGACUAGGAUUCCACUUGUAAUAGACUAGUCCUAAUCCUAAUAGGACUCCACAACACCAGUGGUUUCCUGCGUGCUAGGAUUACCAUCGAAGUCGAGAAGCCUUUGAGGAGGUGGAUCCUCAUCGAUUCUGCCAGGAGGAAGAAAGUGGAUAUGUAUGACAUACAAUAUGAACAGGUUCCAUAUUUUUGCUUCUCAUGUGGCAGGUUGGGACACUCGGACCCGUACUGCCCAACACCGGGAUCGCGGGAUGAGAAUGGCGAGCUCCCUUUUGGAUCUAUGUUGCAGUCACCAAAGGACUAUCGAAAGCAGGCUUUGUCAGAAAAUUCCUUCAGAGACCAUACUGGGGCCAGCAACAAACAAGCAACAAGGAACUCUAGUAACAAGAGAGAUACGGGGGAGGAGGUGACUUCCCCAGUGAAGAAUAGGGAGCAGCAGAAAUGGAAAGAUGCAUCGAACCAAGUUUACAAGCCUGUGGCUAAAACCACGCUGCUGCUCACCGAUGGAGGUGCAGAAACGGGUGUUGAUGGUAAUAUUCUGGCUAGAACUGAUGCAACAUCAAUAAGCCACGAAGAGGGAGAGGACUUUGUUAGGGAAAUAAAGAAGAAACCUACACCUGAAAAUUCGGCAGAGACCGCGCCGCGGUCCUGCCAGUCCCAAUGAGUUGCAUCGGCUGGAACUGCCGGGGGCUUCGGAACCCCAAGGCAGUUUGAUAACUUCGUAGUAUUGUGAAGUUGGAAAGCCCCACUCUUCUAUUUGUCAUGGAAACAAAAAUAAGAGCUAAAAGAGUAGAAGAUUUGCAGAACAAUUUGAGUUUUGCUGGCUGUUUUGCCAUAGACAGUGUGGGCCUUAGCGGCGGCAUUGGUCUGUUUUGGUCCCGCGAUGUGUCAGUUGAACUUAGGAACUACAGUCAACGUCACAUCGAUGUGUUGGUUACUAACAAGCUACUGAAUUCUCCACCUUGGAGAUUCACGGGGUUUUAUGGAGCAGCGCGUGCGGAAGAAAGACACCACAGUUGGAGGUUUUUGCGUUUGCUUCACUCUAUUCCUCAUGAUGCAUGGUUGUGCAUGGGGGAUUUCAAUGAGACUUUAGACUCUAAUGAACAUUUUAGCCGGGCUGCUCGUCCAGAGCGACAAAUGCGAGCAUUUAGAGAGGUGAUUGAUGAGGUUUCCCUCCAGGACUUAGGCUGGUUAGGUACGGCCUACACAUGGGAUAAUCGUCAGUCUGGAGUGGAUAAUGUUAAAGCAAGGCUGCAUCGAGCCUUUGCUAACGAAAAUUUUCGGCAAAAGUUUCAGUACAUCAAGGUUCGGCAUCUGUUCUCGGUGGAGUCUGAUCACUGCUUUGUUGUUGCAGAAAUCAAAGAAACGUUUGAGACAUGUGUCAUGGUUCUAAGUCUGACAGUAAUGUAGGGGGGUAGGUAUGGAGAGGCAAGAUCUUAGCUAUGGAGUAGUUGUAAGCACACGAGGUUUACGAGUUCAGGCCCUUCUCGGAGGAAGUAAUAGCCUUACGUCUCGGAGCCCGGAGGCGAUCGACUGGAUUAUGUGUGUAUGAAUUACAAGGGUGCGAACCCUUUACACUGAGGAGGGGGUGGCUUAUAUAGAGUUCGCCAGACCCCUCCGGCCCUCAGUUAUGCAGGGUUUUAAGUACAUUAAGGUCGGGCGUUACUGGUAACGCCCCUAAUAAAGUGCUAUGAUGACCAUAAAAGCUACUUAAUGACCGACCGUUAGCGUGCGGAGUGACUUUAGGUCUCCUGGCUGUUGAGUGGUUUCUUCUUGGUCGAGUGAUUGCUUCUUGGUCGAGUGUCUUCGAGUCUGUCGAGUGGAACACCUCCAAGUCGAUUGAAAGGUGAUUUCUUCUAGAGAUGUCCUUGGGUAGGGCAGUUAGGACAUGUCCAUGACCCUACCCUAGGUACAUAGCUUCAUCAUUAGCCCCUGAAUGGAUCGAGGUUUGAGUGGGGAAGGAGUUGAGAACUUCUCCGACUCAUUUUUCAUGCCAUGAGCAUAUCUUGUUUCGGAUCAAUAAACCUGAGUGACGACAGUAACUUCCUUUUCAGUCGCCUUGAUCCAUUCUUAGUUUUUUGUCGAGUGAGUUUCUUUACUUGAAAAGCUCCGAGUGACGGUGUGGAGGAGAUCUUCCGUCUGAUAAGUUGUUCUGCUGCCCGCGGAUUUCACGGGAUUCGAAUUUUGGGAAGCGCGCGGGACGGGGGAGGCCGCAGUAAUCGGAUGGGAUAGGGUGGAGCCACCUCGAUCUUUGCGCCACCUUUUUCGCCACGUAUCGCGCGCGCGAUUGUUACGGGAUUUGACAGGAUCGUCCGGGCCUACCACUCAGCCACUCGGAAGUGACCUCAUAUAAGGCAUCGGACCGGGGUUUCUUGAACAGUGCGUUCUCAUUUCCUCUUCUCCUCUUCAGCCUUCUUUGUCGUGCUCGCUCUCGCCCCAGCGCCGCCGCUCCGUACGUGUCUCACCGGUGACGAUGGGGAAGGAGAAGACGGUGGCUCUGGAGCAGGCGAAGAAGACGACGGCAAAGGCGAAGGGGAAGGUGACCAGUCGGGGUGGAUCUUCCUCAUGAGCCGGCCUACCGAAGGGCUGGAUCCAGGGCGACUGGAUCCGCUCGACGAUCCGCCAAGAAGACCUCAACGACCUAGCCGACGGAGGACUGAUCCCCCAUGGAUCGGCGCGGCUUCCAGGGAAGGAAUCCGAGCCGCAACCUCGGGAGGGUGAGCGCAUUCUCCUUGCCACUCACGUCGACCGUGGGUUUUCCUUGCCUCCUCACCCUUUCUUUCGGGAAUUUCUAAAUUUCUUUGGGGCACAACUCCACCACUUCACUCCCAACACAAUCGUGUAUCUCGUUGCUUUCGUGUCUUUGUGCGAGAAUUUCUUGGGUUGUCGGCCUCACUGGGGUCUUUUCAAGCACAUUUUCACCUGUCGUUCUCAGACGGUGAAAAAGGCCAACCCGAGUGAUGAGAGAACACAAGUGAUUCAGAUGUGUGGGGGUCUUGGUGUUCAGAUGAGAGGGAGAAGUUCCUUUCCGGCCAUGAUUCUUCCCGACUCGGUCCGCGGAUGGCAGUCGACCUGGUUUUACUGCAAAGACCAGUCGACGCCAGGGCAGUCGACUGGCCUCCCUCCUUUUACCAUGGACCGAGUGAGGAAACCCUCCUCUUUGAAGGUGAUCCUGGAGGAGAGGGCACAAGUUAGGGUGCUGGUCGAACGAGUGGUACAGCUUAUCCGUGACGGGGUCACUGGCAUGGAUCUCUUGGAGGUUUUCCUUCGGCGGCGCAUCCAGCCUCUUCAAGCUCGAGACCAUCCGAUGUGGAUGUAUUCGGGUCUUGACGACACCACUCAGAUUCACCCGGAGGAGGUCGAUGACGACACACUGGAGGGGUGGCUGUCGGGCAUCACCGGAAACAAGGACAACCCCAGGGGAGCCAGGAGAGUUCCUCCAUUCGACCAGUCCCAUGAACCAGAAAAGGUCCGAUUCUGAGCUUUUGAUUAUAAUCUGAAUUCACUCGUGCAGCUGUCUAUACUGCAUCGACUGACUUUAUUCUUCCUGCUUUCUCUCAGGCCCUUAUCGAAAUGUACUCAGUGCCCAAUGGAGAGCAAGAGCAAGACCCAGAAGGAGAGGCGAGCGGCGGCGACAAUGGCGAAUGGCAUUCUGACGGAGAAGGGGAUGAAGAAAGCAACGACUCAAGUGACGAAGAAGAAGUUGAGUCGCCUCCUCGCAGGGAGAGGCGAUCCAAGCUUGACCAAGAACGACCGAGCGCCCGUGAAAAGGCGAUUGCUCAGACUGGUCAGUCUUCAAAGUGUCCUCGGACAUAUUCACCAACCCCAACUGAAAAAGCGUCAAAGCAUCCCAAAGUUGCAGAGCAAAAGCCUCGGAAGGCAUUGCUGAAGAUUAAGAUUGACAUCCUCGUCGCUUCUACGUGAGUGUCUCCCUUUGUAUUCACUCGACGCUUCGUGCUGUUUAUUUUUUCUUGAUUUAACCAGAUGAACUUUGGAACUGGCAGCGCUGCUACUUCCGGGACCUCAGCUUACAGGGAUGAGGAUGAGGUAAUGGAGGAUGCAGUCACUUCCAAUCUGGGUAUGAUUUCUGUCAUUCUGUCUUUAUUUGGUCGACUCAACUGCAAUGUGUACCAUUGGGUGAUGUGAUUUUGGCGAUUGAUCUUUGAAUAGCUCCUAACAUUAUUGACCUCCCCGAUGAUGAUGAUGAAGAGCAUGAGAGGCCUUUGACAAGGAAAAAUAGGAAAGCUCCUGCAAGCAAGGUGCCACAGUCGACGCCGAUGGCGGAACCAGUCGUUCAGGAAGCUAGUGAUGCCAAUCGGGGUUCUGCUACCUUUGUCGUACCAUUGCCGAGUGCUCUGCCUUCUUCGUUGACUGCUCAAGCUCCUGCCGACCCACCUUCAGUUUUUGCGAUCCAUCAUGUCCCAGAGGACGAAGUGAAUGCCACCAAGGAAGCUAUACGCCAGGCGGGCAUUAUGAUGGAAAAGAUGAAGGCGGUGCGGGACGCCAGUCAGGCCGCCUAUGACGCCAGCUCGGCUCUCCAAAGCAAUGCUCAGGUUAGUUGGUCACCGCUUGUUCUGUUAGGAUAUGCUAUCAGAAGACUCUCUUUCCGAAAAUCUUUGCAUCUGUACACCCAGUGGGUGCAUCGAUUGAAUUUUUGGACUAGUGGGGGCACGCUGAGUGCACCCACUGGGUGUAGUCCCCGAGACUACGGUGGACUGCUGGCAGUCGACUAUAGUCUUUGUAUUUUGAUUCUUUCGCUCGAUCUGGUCUGGCCGUGUCGAGUGUAAACCGAACCGAUGGGGGCACGCAAAAGUGCACCCACUGGAUGUAGUCCCCGAGACUAUGGUGGACUGCGGGCAGUCGAUCGUAGUCUUAGUAUUUAUUUUCUUUGUCGUUUUUUGCUGUAAAAUAACUUCCCCUCCCUGAUUGAAGAAAUCUUGUGAUCUUGGAGCUCGCUUCGUUGACUUGGAGAAACAGCAGAUCCAGCUAAACCUUGACUUGGAAUUGGCCAAGACAGAGCUGCAAAAGGCCAAGGACGAUGCCAAUGGUAAGACGAGCUUGUCGACUGGUUUGUCUUUGGCUUGAGUACCCUUCUGCUCUUUCUAAAUCAAGCACCAUUUCUUUGCAGAAAAACUGAACGAAGAUCUAGCGAAGAAGGAUCAGGAUUUGGCUGCUGCUCAAAAGAAAGCUGACGACAGAACCGCUCUGGUUGAACAGAAACUGGCUUCAGUCGGCCAAUUGGAAGAAGAGAAUGCCAAGAUGAAAUCUGCCCUAGGCGAAGCCAACAAGGAGGUCACGCGCUUGAAGAAGGACAAGGUCAACCUGAACGAGAAGAUGGAAGGCAUCGCUCGCAGGAGGGAUGAUCUGGAGAGCUAUCUGAGGAGCCUUGCCAAGAAGUUGUUCAUCAAGCUUGAAGGUAUACAUUUUGUUCUGACUGAUUUUUUUUGUCGACUCAGCAUACGGGAAUUGACUUAUCCUUGGAUCGUGAAUGCAGAGUUUUGCCAGAACUUCGAGGAGGAGACUAGGCGGAUUGAGCUAGGUUUGGACCCCAUCAACUCUCCCGUAAAAGAUGAAACUGCCAUGAAUCUGCUCCGACUGGAAUCCCGCAUCGACGGUGUUGUGGACUACUUGGCUCGACUGAAGGUUGCCACGUCACGGAUCGACACGGCACUUUGGCCAGGGGCCACGCUCCAAAAUGAUCUCGAGUCUCUGAUGACUCGACUUAACGAGAUCCCUGGUCGAGUGCAGGAGUGGAAGAAAUCUUCUGCCCGGUGUGGUGCUGAUGUGGCUCUGUCUUUGGUUCAUGUCCACUGCAAGGAGGCGCGAGAAGAUAAGCUGGCAGCAAUCAAGGUCGCCAACACCCAGAGGCAUGACUUCCGAUCUUUUAUGGAGACUUUUAUUGCUGCAGCCACUCGGAUCGCCGACGGUGUCGACCUGGACGAGUUCGUUGAGCCUGCCAGUCCUCCUCCUGUGGAGUGAACAAACUUUUAUGCCCCACCUUAAAUUUUCCUCGGAAUGCCGAGUGGUUUUUGUAACCGUUAAACUCUUUCGGGCUGAAUGCCCGAGCACUUCGAUCUGCGAUCUGGAACCUUUAGGAUUUAUCUGAACUUGGUCUAUCAUUGAAUAUCUUCAUGAAUUCUCCGUCGAGUUGAACUUGUUCUUCACUCGAGACAACUUUCGUAUUUGUGGCGCAGCUCCGAAGGAGAAGGUAGCAGUCGACCUGCACCUCAUCGUCCUUGCGGAUUGGGGUGUGUUUCAUACUUAGGCGAGUACUGGACUACAGCUAAGCCUCCGAGUGGGAGGGUUGCUCUCCACUCGGUAGGAUUUUCAAACUUAGGCGAGUACUGGACUGCAGCUAAGCCCCCGAGUGGGAGGGUCGCUCUCCACUCGGUAGGAUUUUUCAAACUUAGGCGAGUACUGGACUGCAGCUAAGCCUCCGAGUGGGAGGGUCGCUCUCCACUAGGUAGGAUUUUUCAAACUUAGGCGAGUACUGGACUGCAGCUAAGCCCCCGAGUGAGAGGGUCGCUCUCCACUCGGUAGGAUUUUCAAACUUAGGCGAGUACUGGACUGCAUCUAAGCCCCCGAGUGGGAGGGUCGCUCUCCACUCGGUAGGAUUUUUCAAACUUAGGCGAGUACUGGACUGCAGCUAAGCCCCCGAGUGGGAGGGUCGCUCACCACUCGGUAGGAUUUUCAAACUUAGGCGAGUACUGGACUAUAGCUAAGCCCCCGAGUGGGAGGGUCGCUCUCCACUUGGUAGGAUUUUCAAAUACUUAGGCGAGUACUGGACUGCAGCUAAGCCCCCGAGUGGGAGGGUUGCUGUCGGUGUCAAAACCGGCGGAUCUCGGGUAGGGGGUCCCGAACUAUGCGUCUAGGCCGGAUGGUAACAGGAGACAAGGGACAUGAAGUUUUACCCAGGUUCGGGACCUCUCGAUGGAGGUAAAACCCUACGUCCUGCUUGAUUAAUAUUGAUGUUAUGGGUAGUACAAGAGUAGAUCUACCACGAGAUCGAGGAGGCUAAACCCUAGAAGCUAGCCUAUGGUAUGAUUGUUGAUGUGUAUGUUGUCCUACGGACUAAAACCCUCCGGUUUAUAUAGACACCGAGUAGGGUUAGGUUACAUAGAGUCGGUUACAAUGGUAGGAGAUCUGCAUAUCCGUAUCACCAAGCUUGCCUUCCACGCCAAGGAAAAUCCCUCCCGGACACGGGACAGAGUCUUCAAUCUUGUAUCUUCAUAGUCCAGGAGUCCGGCUAAAGGUAUAGUCCGGCCAUCCGGACACCCCCUAAUCCAGGACUCCCUCAGUAGCCCCUGAACCAUGCUUCAAUGACGACGAGUACGGCGCAGAUUGUUUUUGGCAUUGCAAGGCGGGUUCCUCCUCCAAGUACUUCAUAGAAGAUUUCGAACAAAGAUAGUGUCCGGCUCUGAAAAAUAAGUUUCCACAUAAUGCCAUAGAGAGAAUAAUAUUUACACAAAUCUAAUCUGCUGACGUAUUCCGUAGUGUGACAUCACACCACGGCCAAGCUUUUAUUCAAACCGUUUUACUGUCCCAUCUCAGCGCGUUAUGCGAGGCGGCUUCCUUGGCACGUCUUGUUAAAGCAGAGAUCGUGUCCCCUUAUUCCGGGAUUCUCAUCAAUACGGGCGUGGGUAACCCAACCGCUUCUAGGACUCCUAGAUUGUAGGCAAGUCCAAACGGGCACGGGGAGGACGCUUGAUAUUCACCCUCUUUAUAAAGGGGACAAGGCUUUUAUUUUUCUCUCCCGUGCUCAAUCGAAUCCUCCCCCCACCUCAAGCUCAAAUGCCCGAAGUUCAGGUCAGGCGCCCCGAACCUUCAAUCAUGUCCGGAUCUAGCCUUCAAGGCCGAUGGAUGCCCUCCUCCGUCACGGAAGAAGACAUCAAGAAGUUGAGGGAGGCCAGAUAUCUGACCGCCGAGAUUUUACAUCGGCUGCCUCCCCGAGGGCAGGCCGUCCCCACCCCCAAACCCAACGAGAACGUCGUGUUUGUUUCCCACUUCCUCCGAGGUCUAGGCCUUGCCCUGGAUCCUUUCGUCAGGGGUUUGAUGUUUUACUAUGGGCUAGAUUUUCAUGAUCUAGCUCCAGACUCCUUUCUUCAUAUCACGACAUUUAUUAUCGUGUGCGAGGCCUUCCUCCGGGUUACCCCUCACUUUGGCCUAUGGCUCAAGACCUUUGAAGUGAAGCCAAAGCUGGUCGAGGGGGAGCAUGCAGCGUGUGGAGGUGCCUCAAUAUGCAAGAUGACGGGAGCUCCGUGGCCCAAACGUUCCAUCCCAGAGGUGUCUGAAUUGUGGCAACAGGAGUGGUUCUACAUCACGGCUCCUAGAAGUGCCAAGUGCCCCCCCCCCUCCCCCGUUUUCUGCUCGGGCCCCCCACCACAACUGAUGUCAUGGAUCAGCAGAGGUCUGAGCUGGGGGCCAGCCAAGGACGUGCCUAUACUGCAAGGCCGCAUUCGAGAUCUCUUCAUUGGAGAUUCAGUUUAGUUACGGUGAUACAGGUUAUGCUGGUUCGUCAAGUCCAGCCUUGCAAACGUCGGCCUCUUCUCCUGUGGGAGUUCAAUCCUGAGGAACGGCGUGCCAUUCAAAAUUUUCUCGGCCUGACGCACGAGGAGAUGUACAAGUCAUUCUUCGGACCUCAGACGGAGUGUCCGGAUAUCACCGAGGACGUGGGCCUAAGUAGAAACCGCACCGCCAAACAGGUAAGGCAUCUUCCGGCCGAACAUACUUUCUCUACUUUGUUACGAAGUUAUCUCUGAGAGUUUGCUUUUUGACCAGGACUAGCUAACAAAGGCGAAGUUGAUUCGGUGUUCGGCCCCCCUCCCUGAGGGUUUGGAAAAUCCGGUAUUGGAAAAGAUGCUCCAGACCGCACCUUGCCCGGAACCCUUGAAGGAAGAUACUGUGGAGGAUAAUGCAGGCGGACGCGGGCCCCCAACGCUGCCCAUUCUAACCGAGGGAGCGAGCGUCUCCAUGAAGGAAGACGACCAGAAGAGGAAAAGGACUGCGCUCGGGGAUUCGGAAGCCGAAGCUUCCAAACGGGAGAAGAAGUCUCCCAUAGAGGGUCCUACCUUGGGGGGGCGCCGUUGCCGCACAAAGUCCGUGGGGGGAUCAAUUCUCCCGCGAGUCGUAAGUGACCCGAAAUACUUUAACAGUACAGAUAUGCCAUCUUUUUCUUCCGAGAAGAUAACCACCGCAUAUAUUUUUGCAGUUCGGGCCUUAGCCCCUCUCAAAUGAGCUCGUCUUCGGGGGAGCUUCUUCCAGAGAUGAUGGAGAGCGAAACGCCUCCUCCGGACUCCUCCGCUCUAGAAGCGGGCGACCCUGAAGUGUCAUCGCGGAGGGCCUCUCCGAGUCCGGUGAGGCCAGAAGAUAAUCCCAUUGAUCCCCGAAGCUCCCAGUGUCCGGCUCCCGAAGAGAGCAGACAAAAUAGUCCGGCACCGUCUAGUGUGCGAUCGGAUGUUCUGAGGGAGUUGGUGGGGUGAGCGGUCAUCUCAGAUGAACACCGUGUGCUGAUGAAUACGGUGAUGGAGAGAAUAUCGUCCGCCGAAAGCGGAUUGCAUGAAGCUUUUAUGAGUCUACUGACAGGCUUUGAGGUACGUAAAAGAAUGUAUGGUAGUCCUGCACAUGCUAGGUGUGCCCUGUGUAGAUAGUAGCCUCUGAGACUCUGGUUGUCGUCGGAAACGACGACGAACAGAGGAUCAUAUUCCCAAGCAAUAACCAUACUGCCUCUAUGUGCAGGUGAUGGAAGCUCCGGUGGCUAGCCAGACUAGUGAGUUUGCCCAUUUAGAACGGUAGUUGGAUGCAGCAGACGCCGACAUCGAGCUUGUUAACAAAAGGGUUGACGAGGCACAGGGUAAGUGUCAUUAUCUGGUAAACGCCGCAAUAGGAAGAGCAGUAUGAUGCCAGCAUCUUUAAUAUGUUGUGACUGCAGAUGGAGCUGCCACUGUUGAAGCCUUGCGGGCAGAACUUGCCCGAGCCAAGGAACAAGCGAGGUUGGGUAAUGCGGCUGCCUUGAAGGCGUCCGAAGAGUUGCAAGCCGAGAAGGCCGCGCAUGGCGAGAGCCGAGACAAGAUGGCCAAGAUGGCUAUAGAAUUAAAAGUCGCCGCCGACCGUUGCCGGGUUCUUGAAAAAGAAAACCAGGCGAAGGCAUCGUACCUUGAAAAGGCUGCUGCAACGAAAAAGGAUCUCCGCUCUGCUAUGAGGGCAAAGAAGGAGGAGCUGCGGGAAGCUGGGGAUAUUGUAGUUGGGAAAUCCUUUAUGUUGCGGAGGAAAUUCGGAGAUCCACGGUAUGCCCCUCUGGAUCGGCUGUGGAGUUCGGAGGAUGUAUAUAUGGAUUUGGCGGCGAGCGCUGCCGAUGCGGCCAAGUACUUCCAGGGUCAGACAGACUGUGGAGUAGACCAGCUGUUUUGGAGACAAUUCCAUUCUCCCGAGCGUCCACUUUUAUUGACUGACCAAUUAGCCGAAUGGGCCGAACUAAAUAGGUUGUCCAGACUCUCCAUGAGGUCUGUUCUGGAUCAGUUAUGGCCGGAAAGGUCAAAACCGAACAGCUAUUUCAGCUUGGUGCAGCAGUUCCUUGACGUGGUGCCGCACAUUAAUGCGAUGAAGAGGUCGGCGUGCAUAGAGGGCGCACGGAUGGCCUUUGCCCGUGUUAAGGCAUACUGGGCGGAGAUGGAUGCUACCAAUGUUGCAGCGCGGGAUUCGGCUAUAGGUCGAAAGGCUGCUGAGCACUAUUUUGAAGAAGUUCUUGAGGGUGCCCGCUUGAUAGAGACCCAGUGCUCAAAAAAUAUUAUGUUUGAGUGAUAUGUAAUCUCAUUGUAAGCGAAAUGCUUUUAUAAAAUUUUUAUAAGGCUAUUUUUAUACUUUUGCCUGAAAGUAAUAUGAUGCCUCCUGGGCGGCCAUUUAUGUAUACAUGUGUAUAACCUGAAAGAUUGCGGUCGUUGGCUUCGGCCCCCACGCAUAUAAUGCGGAGGUGCUCGCAAAAACACGCGUUCACACUUAAACCAACAUCUUGGUCCUAUUAAGGAGGUGAUAGCGGAGCGAGCGAGGCAACCGGACUAUAAUGCUUUAGCACUUUCACUUAGCCAUAGGAGUUUGACAGUGGGGCUACUAGAUAGCCCUUGGUGGCUCCGCACUCUCCCGGUUUCGGGUGCGUACAUGCUUGGCCGGAAAACGGUCCUUCGUUAAGGCGGAGGAAUUCUAACAUUCCCACAGGUCAUCGAGUGGUUGACCAGUUUCACGCUAUAUCAUGACAGUCAGUUUUCGGAUUUCUCUACUGAGGUGCUCGUCCGGAUGAACCAGGGCACAAUCGUAGUAGUUCUCCUGGUGCUACCUUAGCCGGUAAAGCGGAACGUGAGGCACCAAAACACAGGAGCCGAGCAAACCCAACAUUUGACCAAAGAUAAUGAUUCGGAGCUGAUGCAUAUAGGGCCAAACUCGCGACGCCGAACACUUCCUAAGGUAUUCGGUCUUUGUGGUAUAAACCGGGCCUAAAUAAUGGCCUUUGUAAGAAGCCCCUUGUGUCCAGGUACAUGCAUUGUUCUGGCGUGGCCACAUGCCAAGACGUCAGCAUCCUUCUCAACGGUGGAUAUGUAUCAACAAGAGACAGUAAAAAAGGUUUACGCAGGGUCUUAAUCUAAAAAGAAUCCUUGGAGCGGGUCCCUGCUGCACGUCUGCGCCUGUGUCUCUGUUGUGCCGUAUCCUGGACGGGUGUAGCACGAUGAUCGUCUGUAAAAGAUAGGAAGUUAAGUGAAAAAGUUGUCGUGCAAAAAGGAUAGUUUUUAAAGAAACCAUGUGUAAUUCAAGAUGAUAAGAAAUUGCCACUUGUCUGCGCGCGUUGAGCCCCUUGUAUUGACAAAUAGGGGUGUGACCAUUCCGUAUAAAUAGCGGCGCCGGACUUGAUUAGUUGUAUCUGAGGUCUUGACGACCUAUUGGAUGCUUUCGUUUGUCCGGGCGCCUUUAGUGUGCGGCGGCCAAGGCAGCCUCACUCUCUUCGGCGUGCAGAGAUCGCUUGAUAUUUCCGUGCACUGUAAUGAUGCCCCAUGGACCGGGCUUCUUGAGUGUGAGGGAGGCGUAGUGCGGUAUGGCAUUAAAGCGAGCGAAAGCUUCGCGUCCGAGCAGUGCUUGAUAGCCACUUUGAAACGGAGCGAUGUGGAA
rnacentral:lncRNA from 1 species